rnacentral:lncRNA from 1 species
GAUAAAUAUGUCAUUUCAAAGAAAUAAUUAAUCUGGAAUAUAUUGAAGGCAUGAAAAAUUGAGAUAGGAAAGUUAUUCAUUAAUUAAUUCAACAAGUAAUUAUUAUGUGUAUUUCUGGGCAUUGAACUACAGUGCCAGUCCAGUUGAAGAGAUGGAAAAGGAAGUGCCAGAAGGAAAAAUGGACUUUGCAGAUAUCAAGAUGAUCAAACAGACAAUACUAUACGACCAAAUGGAUACGGAGUCAAGAAAGGAGGGGAGUCAAAGGCGACUCUGAAGUUCCUAAUGAAUGGGAGGAAUAGUGUUAAGAAAAUUAAAAGACGGAGACAAUUUCAGGGACAUGAUGAAUUCAGUUAAAAAUACAUCCAACUUGAAGUAUAGGGAAGAGAAAUACUCAGGUUCUUUCUCUACAGAAGAUACCUAAAUGGCUUCAAGGGGAGUUCUCUUCAAUCAGCACUGUGGGAUUCAGAAAACAGCCUUGUACUUUCUCAAUAGAAACCAUCGGUGACAUGAGUGACUUCAGGCAGGUAUCUGC